GUGAAUCAUCGAAUUUUUGAACGCAAAUUGCACUCUCUUCGGAGAGUAUGCCUGUUUGAGGGUGAGCCUCAAAAAAAUCUACGUAGUCGGUGUUUCGCGGUGACAUUCGUCGGAAUUUGGGUCAUCUUAAACCUUUGGGUUUUUUAAGCGGCUUGAAAUUUUCGUUAUAAUUGCACGACCGUUUGUAAGAUUUUCUUU
rnacentral:misc_RNA from 1 species